rnacentral:rRNA from 1 species
CCUACGGGAGGCAGCAGUGAGGAAUAUUGGUCAAUGGACGCAAGUCUGAACCAGCCAUGCCGCGUGCAGGAAGACGGCUCUAUGAGUUGUAAACUGCUUUUGUACGAGGGUAAACGCAGAUACGCGUAUCUGUCUGCAAGUAUCGUACGAAUAAGGAUCGGCUAACUCCGUGCCAGCAGCCGCGGUAAUACGGAGGAUUCAAGCGUUAUCCGGAUUUAUUGGGUUUAAAGGGUGCGUAGGCGGUCGGAUAAGUUAGAGGUGAAAUCCCGAGGCUCAACUUGGGAAUUGCCUCUGAUACUGGUCGGCUAGAGAGUAGUUGAGGUGGGCGGAAUGUAAGGUGUAGCGGUGAAAUGCUUAGAGAUCAUACAGAACACCGAUUGCGAAGGCAGCUUACCAAGCUACUUCUGACGUUGAGGCACGAAAGCGUGGGGAGCAAACAGGAUUAGAUACCCCAGUAGUC